rnacentral:lncRNA from 1 species
CAAUAUAUUUACAGGAAACUGUUUUAGUUCAUUGUAUUAUUUUAUCUAUCUGUAUACAGAUUGCUGCAUGUAAUUGAACUGUUUUUAUAAUAAUAUCCAUUGGACAUUGGAUUGACUUGAGGGACAUGAAUGAGUGAUUUCAAGUUGUUAAAGCAGUUCUAGGUGUUUGGCUUUGCAGAUGAAAUUAGCAGCUCAUUGUGUAAUGCCAAAAGUCACUGUGGAGCUAGAAGUGAUCUGCUGUGAAAAAGCAACAGCAACUCCUGAUUUUUUGAGUUAAAAUGGAUGGACAAGGACAGAAAGAGACAACAUUGGUAAAGGCAAAAGGAUUUGGUAUGUGAUUAUCUCACAGGAGCUACAUCUUGUAGAUACCAGAUGUUUCACAAUAACAGUAACUCUGGAGUUGCUUCAUUGUUAUAACAAGAAGAUUUUACUGCUGAGAGAAAGCUACAACAAGGGCUAUUUUACAAAAGACAGAAUCCUGACCUUUCUCCAAAACAUCAAAUACUUGAAAUCUUAAUUUUCCAAGCAAAGCUUGAAAUUUUUUCAUGCAAUGCCAGGAAUCAUCAUCCAUCUAAAAUUGCAGUGACUCAGAUGAUAUGGAUUCUGACACUGUACAUAAAUAAAGCAGCAGUUCACAAAAGAAGAAAUCCAGCUCACAUUUAUAAAGGACUUGGAUAUUCAGGGACAACUUCUGAGAGUAUUACUCACUUUGGAUGAAAUCUUCUUCUGGUAUAUAAGUCCAUUCAGAUGAUGCUAUCUAGGAUGAGUUAUAGGAGGCAUAGGAAAGGAUGGAAUUUUUACGGAAAGUCACCCAGAAAGAUGUCUUAAACAUAGACAGUUAAACAUACACAAUUUAACUGGCUAACAGAUAGAUGCUGCUAGAUGUAUGCUAUUCUUCAGAGGCUAGCCUAUCAGUUCCUCUCCACAGGAAUUUUGCAGCAUUGUUCUACAUGAACUGUAAAACCAAAUUAAAACUGCUUGUUUACAUAGCCAGCUUCUGAACCUUAACAAGGAGAGUAUUUUUGUGGCAAAGUUGUCCUUAGAUGAAAUGUGGAAUAAGUACUUCAGAGAAAAGGUUAAUGGUAGAUAGCCAUUUUUUAUUUUUAUUGUAAGCCUCUGGCAUUAUGCCAAAUACCAAAAAUGGGAAGAAAUGUCAUUUUCUUGCUCCAAUGAAAUUACAUGUAUGUAAAAGUUUCAAUCCAGUCAUAAGAAAAUGAAAGAAAUACCUCAGCUAAAACAGAAACAUUUGAACAAUAAACUACAGAGAGAUUACUUACUGGCUAUCCUA